AUUGAACGCUGGCGGCAUGCUUUACACAUGCAAGUCGAACGGUAACAGGCCGCAAGGUGCUGACGAGUGGCGAACGGGUGAGUAAUGCAUCGGAACGUGCCCAGUCGUGGGGGAUAACGCAGCGAAAGCUGCGCUAAUACCGCAUACGAUCUCUGGAUGAAAGCGGGGGACCGAAAGGCCUCGCGCGAUUGGAGCGGCCGAUGUCAGAUUAGGUAGUUGGUGGGGUAAAGGCCCACCAAGCCAACGAUCUGUAGCUGGUCUGAGAGGACGACCAGCCACACUGGGACUGAGACACGGCCCAGACUCCUACGGGAGGCAGCAGUGGGGAAUUUUGGACAAUGGGCGCAAGCCUGAUCCAGCAAUGCCGCGUGCAGGAAGAAGGCCUUCGGGUUGUAAACUGCUUUUGUACGGAACGAAACGGUCUGGGUUAAUACCCUGGGCUAAUGACGGUACCGUAAGAAUAAGCACCGGCUAACUCCGUGCCAGCAGCCGCGGUAACAC
rnacentral:rRNA from 1 species